AUUGAACGCUGGCGGCAUGCCUUACACAUGCAAGUCGAACGGCAGCACGGGAGCAAUCCUGGUGGCGAGUGGCGAACGGGUGAGUAAUGUAUCGGAACGUGCCCAGUCGUGGGGGAUAACGCAGCGAAAGCUGUGCUAAUACCGCAUACGAUCUAUGGAUGAAAGCGGGGGAUCGCAAGACCCUGCGCGAUUGGAGCGGCCGAUAUCAGAUUAGGUAGUUGGUGGGGUAAAGGCCCAUCAAGCCUGCGAUCUGUAGCUGGUCUGAGAGGACGACCAGCCACACUGGAACUGAGACACGGUCCAGACUCCUACGGGAGGCAGCAGUGGGGAAUUUUGGACAAUGGGCGCAAGCCUGAUCCAGCAAUGCCGCGUGCAGGAUGAAGGCCUUCGGGUUGUAAACCGCUUUUGUACGGAGCGAAACGGCUUCCACUAAUACUGGGGGCUAAUGACGGUACCGUAAGAAUAAGCACCGGCUAACUACGUGCCAGCCGCCGCCGUAAUAC
rnacentral:rRNA from 1 species